UGGGGAAUCUUGGACAAUGGGGGCAACCCUGAUCCAGCCAUGCCGCGUGAGUGAUGAAGGCCUUAGGGUCGUAAAGCUCUUUCGCCUGUGAAGAUAAUGACGGUAGCAGGUAAAGAAACCCCGGCUAACUCCGUGCCAGCAGCCGCGGUAAUACGGAGGGGGUUAGCGUUGUUCGGAAUUACUGGGCGUAAAGCGCACGUAGGCGGACCAGAAAGUUGGGGGUGAAAUCCCGGGGGCUCAACCCCGGAACUGCCUCCAAAACUAUUGGUCUAGAGUUCGAGAGAGGUGAGUGGAAUUCCAAGUGUAGAGGUGAAAUUCGUAGAUAUUUGGAGGAACACCAGUGGCGAAGGCGGCUCACUGGCUCGAUACUGACGCUGAGGUGCGAAAAGUGUGGGGAGCAAAACAGGAUUAGAUACCCUGGUAGUCCACACCGUAAAACGAUGAAUGCCAGUCGUCGGGUAGCAUGCUAUUCGGUGACACACCUAACGGAUUAAGCAUUCCGCCUGGGGAGUACGGUCGCAAGGUU
rnacentral:rRNA from 1 species